GGAGAUGUAGCUCAGCUGGUUAGAGCGCGGCACUCAUAAUGCCGAGGUCGGUGGUUCAAGCCCACCCAUCUCUACCA
rnacentral:tRNA from 2 species